UGAAUACUUGUUGUCUAUGCUGGAUGAAUGAUUUUAUACAUGUUUUAAAUGAUUUAAACUGUAUAUUUAUUUUAUACCUACAAAUAUGUUGGGAUAAAACAUGGGUAGAUGAAAUAGUUGGUGUGUGAUGAAAUAAAAUAAUGAGAGAUAGGUGAUGAUAGGAAGGUGAUGAUAAUUAGGUGAGGAUAGAUAGGUGAUGAUGAAUCGGUGAUGUAGGAUACUACAACCUUGUCCGACAAUUUGGAGAUGUAGUCAUCUACCAUAGUAUAGAUGGCGACCACAGACUAUUAUAGACAACCCCGUAGAAACACCAGCAGGCUCAUAACCUGUAGGUGAUGAAUUACGAGUUCAGGCGAUGUUGUAACCACGUAUUCAUGUGAUGAUACUCUAACCCCCUUACUAUGAAUUACGAGUUCAGGCGAUGUUGUAACUACGUAUUCAUGCGAUGAUACCCUAACCCUUGGUGGGCACAUAUUGAGGGAGUAAUCCCUGAAUCAAUACUGUCUAGGCGAUGUAGGCGAUGAUCCUUAGGGAAAGUCCUUAGGAACAAACAUAAAAGGAGAUGCGAUGUAAGGAGAUGAGAGGUAAAAUAUGAUGUAGGAGACGACCCUUAGGAUAAAUCCUUAGGGAGGGUACUUAGGAAUAAAGAAGAUAAUGGGGAUGGGUAAUUGGGUUAAUUGUUUGAUGAUUGAACAUAAUAAUUAUAUUAUUGUGGGUUGAAAACCCUAUGUACUCACCAGGUUUCCCAACCUGACCCACUCAGUUUAUUUAUAUCACAGGUGUUGUUAUGAAGUCACAUUACACUAAGAGAUUAAAGAGAUGUAGAUCACUAGUGUAAAUAAAUGUAAGUUCUGUUUAUGCUUAUGUUUUUGUAUUGACGAUGACAUCCCAAACGUUUUAAAAUGAAUAAAAUACGUUUCUUCGAAAAUGUUUUGAUAACGUAUUUAACAUGUUUUUCUGGGAACAAAUUCCGCAACAUUUUUAUGAAAAGAAGUACUCUGAUUUUUACAAAGCAUAAACAAAAUCGGUCUUUUCUGGCCGUGAAAAUGGGGAUGUCACAGUUGGUAUCAGAGCAUUAGUUUAAGCGAACUAGGAAUAUGGAUUUAUUUCUAGACUUAAACUUAGAAUGCUAAGCGAUGAUUGUGAGGUGUGAGCACUAGCUUAUUUUAGGAAUUAUGCCUAAAAUGCUUUUAUGUGCUAAAUGCUUUAUGCCUUAUAUGCUGUUAUUUAUUCGGAUCUAUGGUCUGUUGUCGACCGGAUCUAGAAACCUUAUGUGUUUAGGAUUCUAAACGUACGACUACGAUAUUAAAACUAGCAUGUAAACGUUUCGGAGUGAUAAGGAUGAUUUAAACGUCAAUCCUAUAUAAAGAUCUAGAUUCACCUUAUUCGGUGUAUAGAUCAAGAUGGCAAGGACCCAUAGCGGAAACGUGAAUGCAAAUGAGAAUAGGCAUCAACCCCCGGUGAUUCAGCAAAUACCUAUCGUAGUAGAAGAUGUACCCGAGCCAAUCACCAUGGCUGGAGUUUAAGACAUGAUUCGGGCUAUGCUAGCUGAACAAAGGCAAGAAAUGAGAUAGAUGUUCCACAAAAAUAGGGACGAACCUACCAUACAUGCUGAGCCGACCGAGCCGAUUCCUGAGCAAUAUGAGGAAUGGAACUACAGCCGCCAAGUGAGUCAAGUAGGGACUCAAUGUGAACGAAGGGAUGGCCCGGAGAGGAGAAAUGACAAGGAUGGGCGAAUGUACAAGAAUUUCUUAAGUGCAAGACCACCAAGUCUCUCAGGGAGCCCGAAGCCUGUGGAAAUUAUGGACUGGAUCUCCGAGAUGGAGAUGGUGUUUGAGAGUUGCGACUGUAGCAACAAGCAGAAAACCGUCUUUGCGGUCAGACAACUAAAGACCAGAGUCUUGAGCUGGUGGAAGCUAUUGGCAGAUACGAUGCCCAAGGGAGAAGCAAGCAAGAUGUCUUGGGAAGAUUUCCUAAAGCAACUGAAAAUGCAGUACUGCUCUGAGCAGGAUCUCCUAGAGAUCAACAACGAGUUUCAGAACCUAAAGAAAGGAAAACUAAGUGUCACCGAGUACGCUGCAAGUUUUACGGAGAAGAUGAAGUGUGUUCCUUACCUAGUUUCAACGGAACUUUCCAAGGUCAAUAGGUUUGCUAAUGGAUUACCAACAGACUUUGGUCCAAUGGUCAAACAAGCAACCACUUUGAAAGCCACCAUCUGGGCAGCCAAGAAUGUUGAGACCCAAAUAAGGGAAAAGGGUCUGGAGAAAGCUGAAGUUGGUGAAAAGAGGAAGUUUGAAGGAUCCUCAAGACCUGAUAAUAAGGGAAAGUUCUCGAAGUCUAACCUGGACGACCGAGGGAAUGGAGCCAAGUGGUGUGAGAAGUGCAAGAAGAAGCACUUCGGAAGAUGCGAUGGAGAAGUGGUGUGCUAUAAGUGUGGUAGGACCAGUCACUAUUCCAGAGAUUGUACAUUCGACAACAAGAAGUACUACGAAUGUGGAAGUAAUGGGCAUAUUUCAAAGGACUGUCCAAAGAAAAACGAAACAGCAAGACCAAAUGCACCGCCAAAACCAAGGGCAUUCCACAUGAUCCUCGACGAAGCAGAAAACCAUGCGAGGAAUCAAGGAUGAGGACUUCAUAUCCGAAGAUCAAGUUAUGUAGUAGCCAUAGUAUCAUAUGAUGUAGCCUAUUAGAGGCAUAGUCUAGGGCGAACUUGAACACCUAUGUAAUAAUUUCGAGAAAUAAUAAAGCCCUCGUUUUGUUAUCUGAUGUGUUAAAUUGUUAUGUGAUUUUCCUGUAUGGUGACUUGGAGACUGCGAGACAAUACUUGGGACGAGUAUGAGUAUGUGUGAAUGGUAGUAGAGGCCUAUACUACCGGAAGCACAUGAUUCACACUUGGAUCAGGGAAAGUCACAAGGUUACAAAGAAGCCAAUAACUGAUUCCGUUUUAUUCAAGAAUGUCGUUACCAUCGUUUCGGUAAAUGACUAAGAAGACGAUUGUUAUUCCGACCCUAGUGGUCAUGUCACAUUGAGUCCGACUACGAUGAGUAGGUUACGUGGUUCAGAGAACCAAGUUUGAUGUAGCGUCCGACUUAAACCAAACGAUUGAAAUCAAAGCGAUCAAUAGAAGUAUCACGCUCAUUGUUAAAGAAGUUGGUAGCUAGAAAUGCUACAUGUUAAAAUGUGAUUAUAUCACAUUAGACCAUGAAGGAAGGCAUAUUCCAUUCCGGAAUUUGACUUUAAGAGACCUAAGUCUAAGCGUUGCAACAUACGAUGAUAGGUCAUUAGAAUAUGACACAUCGAUCCAUAAUAGUAAUAAAAGAACUUAUCUCAAGUUCGUAUCCAGUGAGGAUCGAGAUUGUGAUUUGAAGGUCAUAAUUUGGAGUCUAGCCUGAGGUAGAGAGCAGGUGCACGAUCGAGUACUGCUUACAGUCAAUGAGUCUAAGAGAUAGACUUGAAGAAAUAUAAAAGUUAUAAUUGUUAUCUAGGAUGAAGAGAUGACGUAUGGAGUCAUUAUACGAUCCCUGUUUCGUUGAUGAUUCCGGGACGUAAUCAUCCUAAGAGGGAGAUAAUUGUAACGCCCGUAGAUCUGGAAUAGUCAAUUUAAAGGCAAUAGGGGUCGAAAACGACUUUUCGACAAAAGAUUUAGAAUAAAUAAUCUUAACCAAGUUGUAGAAUAUUUCAGAAGGUUUCCGUACAUAUAAAGAACGCCGAAAUCCGAGUUAUAACGAAGAAGUUUUGACCCGUCGAAGUUUUACGGCAAAACCGGCACGACACCGGGAGACGUAAAUAGUGAAUUUAAGAUAGAUGGCCAUUUAGCCUUAGUAAUCUAAACCAAAGUUGUAGUAUAUGUUAAACCGAGAACAUCCAUAAAAAGAACGCCCAAAUCUGACUUUGUAUGAGGAAGUUAUGAUUUUUCUAAGAUUCGGCUUAGCAGUGCACGACCCGAAACUCGAAUUUUAGUUUGAGCGGUUUUUGGCUUACGCGACCUAAAUGAGAGUUGAAGAUCUCAUUAAUAGGAACUCAACGGUAAAAAGAUAGACGAAAACGAAGUCCAUAUGAAGGAGUUACAAAUUCUUCGCGGUCAUUUAACAGUCUAAACGCCUCCUACUGUUAAAUUUAAGACCGGUCAAGAAUUAGCCGACGGGGUCUAAAUGAAAGUUGUAGAUCUUGAUUUUACCUACGCGUUGAAAAAAAGAACGUUGAAAACGGAGCUCUUAUGCGAGAGUUAUGAUUUUUAUAAGUUUAAAGGCUGAUACGCGAUAGGGGUGACGUGGCACCACCAGAAUUGGACAUGUGGCACCACCAGAAGGCCACCACAUGCCCCAACUCGGCGAGUAGGUCCUCCUACUUGGCGGGUCCAUCAGGAUUUCACACUAUAAAUAGAUGUGUCGGGUUCCAUUCAUUCUCACACCUUUCAUCUUCCACUUUCUCUCUCAAAACUCUCUCUCUCUCUCUCUCUCUCUCUCUCUCUAGCUCCUAUUAAGCCCCCUAAAGUCUAGGUAAACCCCCUAGCACCCGAAGGAAACCCCAAGGCUCCGGAAGUCCCGAGAAAAGAGCCUUUCGGCUCGGGAACGCUGCUCCAACGAAGCCCGGUUUUCGAGAAAACCCGUUGUAAGUGAGUUGUACCUAUCCUAUCUUUAAUAUAGCUUAUGUUUCAAUAUAGUAUUGUUAUUAGGACCUUACAAUGAGUAUUAGCUAUUAUUNAGUGUUGUUUAACGCUUAUAUAAUAGUAAUAAUAGCUAGACUAUUAAAUUAGUCUCGUCAAGCGUUAGACUAAACUCUAGUGGUAAUGAUACUAGGUUUCGUCAAGGGAUAAUUGUUUUAAGAGUAACGAAGUGUUGUCCGAGUGCCGACUCACCACCUUAUCAAGUGAGUGCAUGGUCCCUUUCAUCUUACACAUAGAUAUGAAGUAUUUUACAUAAAUUACGUGCUAUGUGUGCAUAUUAUCUGAAUACUUGUUGUCUAUGCUGGAUGAAUGAUUUUAUACAUGUUUUAAAUGAUUUAAACUGUAUAUUUAUUUUAUAUCUACAAAUAUGUUGGGAUAAAACAUGGGUAGAUGAAAUAGUUGGUGUGUGAUGAAAUAAAAUAAUGAGAGAUAGGUGAUGAUAGGAAGGUGAUGAUAAUUAGGUGAGGAUAGAUAGGUGAUGAUGAAUCGGUGAUGUAG
rnacentral:lncRNA from 1 species